rnacentral:tRNA from 1 species
GCCCAGGUAGCUCAGUCGGCAGAGCACGUCCUUGGUAAGGACGAGGUCGCCGGUUCAAAUCCGGUCCUGGGCUCCA